AAUAUUGCACAAUGGGGGAAACGCUGAUGCAGCGACGCAGCGGGAGGGAAGAAGAAUUUAGGUAAGUAAAGAUCUAUCAGCAGGGACGAUAAUGACGGUACCUGACGACGAAGCACCUGCUAACUACGUGCAAGCAGGCGCGGUAAUACGUAGGGGGCGAGCGUUAUCCGGAUUUACUGGGUGUAAAGGGAGCGUAGACGGUGAUGUAAGUCAGAUGUGAAAGCCCAGGGCUCAACCCUGGGACUGCAUUUGAAACUAUGUUGCUAGAGUGCAGGAGAGGUAAGUGGGAUUCCUAGUGUAGCGGUGAAAUGCGUAGAUAUUAGGAGGAACACCAGUGGCGAAGGCGGCUUACUGGACUGUAACUGACGUUGAGGCUCGAAAGCGUGGGGAGCAAACA
rnacentral:rRNA from 1 species